CAGCCUCCUGGGACACACACACACACAUACGCGCGCGCGCACACACACACACACACACACACGCACACCCCACAAACAACAGCCCAGGCUGGAUCUUUCCUCCAGUCUCUUCUCUUGGUAAAACUUCUCGGAGACCCAAAGAGAGGACCCAAAAUCCUGAGGCCAGCUGGCAGCAGCAGAGAAGCCGAGGGAGACUAGAGGAUGUAGUCUGCCCUGCCCUGCUGCGGCUGCUGAACUUUCUUCUUUUUCCUGAAAACAUCCAGUCUCUCUCUUCUCCCAGACUGGGAAGCAGAACACAGGCCCCCUGCUGCGACACUGCCCCUGAGCCGAGGCUGACCUCAGAGGAGAUAAAGCCACUGGGCUACUGAUGCUGUGAUCCAUAGCCCUCAUUCCCAACUGCAGGAAAGACCAACUUCUGCAGGAGAUAAAGCCACUGGGCUACUGAUGCUGUGAUCAUAGCCCUCAUUCCCAACUGAAGGAAAGACCACAUUUCGGUUAAAGCAGGUGCAGGGACACAGGUGAGCAGAAAGCGUUUAGGGACGUGUCCAGGGUCUUGGCAACAGGCUGGAGUUUGGAAGAAGUCUGGAUGAGCAGCCACAGUGCCCUCUCUCUUCCUCAUCCCUGGAUGCAUCCCACCCAGCCCAGAACUGAGAACAUUAACCCAGCUCCUCUGAUGGAAGACUCCCUCAUACAGCUUCAGAGUCUCGGGUUUCCCAGAUGCCCUAUAGCUUCUUGCAGAGUGCGAAGCCUGCUCCUCUCCCCCAGGGGCCUUGCUGGGACUGCAGUCUUGCUGCUGGUGGCCUAAUAGCAGGUGUGCCUGGGCGUACCACGGUGGUGCAGCUUGUCUUAUCCCUACUCCCUGAUGGUUUGGGUCUCUACAGCUUUCCACCUCCCCUGGGUUGGGCCCUAUCCCUGACUCCAGAAGUUAAGUGACGUUGGUUCCAGAAGGUGCCAUAUUCAGUCUCCCCUGGGUCUUUGUGCGGUUGUUCCUCUGCCUGGAAUGUUCUUCCCACUUGCCUACACUGCAUGUAAAACCCUAUCUUGGCUUAGAUAGCACUUCCUCGAGGAGGCUUUCUCAGAGCCCUCCCUGCCGAGGCGGCGUGCCUUGUGGUAUCAGAUCCCACUGAACUGUAAUUGUAUUUACUUUGUGUUUUCCUCCCCACCAGGCUGGGAUGAUGCACUUGCCCCAUUCACAGCUGUAUCAUGUAGCACAAGCCCAGCACCUUUGAUGUGUGAUAAAAUGAAUGAAUGGGCAAAUGAACAAGUGGUGAAUGAAUGAAUGAGUCAAUGGACCGGUGUUCCCUCACCCAGGGAACGUGCCUUCUUUGCAGCCCUCUUCCACCCCUUACUCACGGGUGUGCAUUUGAUUCCUGAAGCAUCAGAGCGGCUCCCCACCCUCCAUCCAAGACUCCAGCAGAGCCUGCCUGGGCAUCGCUUCCAGGAUUACUCCUGGACCAACUUCGCCUGAGUAUUUCCGCAGCCUCAUCAUCUGGGGAAUAUAUAAAAAUAGUAAAUGGUUCCCCUGGCAACCACCACAGCAAAUGGUAACCAGGGUGGGCAGUCCAGGAAAGCCUCAAGGUUGGGAGGAGAACAAACGCCAUCCUCACUGCUCACUCUCUGAAUCUUGGCCGGCCAGGGUUACCUCCGAGCGCCUCGCCUAGCCUCAUGGCUUCCCAGAGACGACCUGCUCUGGAGCCCAAAGGGAAAUAACAGGCUGGAGAAGCUGCCCCAUCAGCCCAGACCAUCUGUCCCUGUCAGUCCCUGGACUGCCACCCCCGCACUCUCUCUGUAGGGUCCCCAAGCCAGGCUCUAGGAGAUCCUGAGAGUGGGAAAGUCCAGCAGCUGAGACACUAAGCGGGACUGGAGGCAGAGCCUGGAGGGACUGUGACCCUGAGGUGUCAGGGAGCGGAAGCCUAAGGUCUCCAGUGGGUGGUGGUGGGUGCAGCUAUCUCAGAGUAGCCUCAUCAGCCAGGCUGCUGCUGUCUUUUCCCUGUGCGUGAGUGAAGCUUUUGCUCCCCUGUCAUCCCCCCACCUCCUGGAAUAUUGAGUUCACUGCAUCCCGGUGGCUGUGGUUACCUCCACCCUGUCCUCGCCCUCGCAGCUGAAGCCUACUUCCUGCCUCGCUGCCCCAGCCUGCCUUUCGUCUAAGUCGGUCCUGAUGGACAUUACAAGAGCCAGGCCAUGUGAGCUGUGCCUGGGACUCCUUUGUCUCAUCUCCAUGUUUCUGGAUUUGGCCUCGGCAUUGAGGACUCUCCUACUACUCAGGAUCCCUGAAAUAAAUCUGUUGCCCUCCUG